rnacentral:rRNA from 1 species
GACGAACGCUGGCGGCGUGCCUAAUACAUGCAAGUUGAGCGAUGAAGAUUGGUGCUUGCACCAAUUUGAAGAGCAGCGAACGGGUGAGUAACGCGUGGGGAAUCUGCCUUUGAGCGGGGGACAACAUUUGGAAACGAAUGCUAAUACCGCAUAACAACUUUAAACAUAAGUUUUAAGUUUGAAAGAUGCAAUUGCAUCACUCAAAGAUGAUCCCGCGUUGUAUUAGCUAGUUGGUGAGGUAAGGGCUCACCAAGGCGAUGAUACAUAGCCGACCUGAGAGGGUGAUCGGCCACAUUGGGACUGAGACACGGCCCAAACUCCUACGGGAGGCAGCAGUAGGGAAUCUUCGGCAAUGGACGAAAGUCUUACCGAGCAACGCCGCGUGAGUGAAGAAGGGUGUCGGAUCGUAAAACUCUGUUGGUAGAGAAGAACGUUGGUGAGAGUGGAAAGCUCAUCAAGUGACGGUAACUACCCAGAAAGGGACGGCUAACUACGUG